GUGAGGAAUAUUGGUCAAUGGGCGCAAGCCUGAACCAGCCAUGCCGCGUGCAGGAAGACGGUCCUAUGGAUUGUAAACUGCUUUUAUCAGGGAAUAAACCUCUUUACGUGUAGAGAGCUGAAGGUACCUGAUGAAUAAGCACCGGCUAACUCCGUGCCAGCAGCCGCGGUAAUACGGAGGGUGCAAGCGUUAUCCGGAAUCAUUGGGUUUAAAGGGUCCGCAGGCGGGAAGAUAAGUCAGUGGUGAAAUCUCACAGCUCAACUGUGAAACUGCCAUUGAUACUGUCUUUCUUGAAUUCGAUCGAAGUGGGCGGAAUGUGACAUGUAGCGGUGAAAUGCUUAGAUAUGUCACAGAACACCGAUAGCGAAGGCAGCUCACUAGGUCUGGAUUGACGCUCAGGGACGAAAGCGUGGGGAGCAAACAGG
rnacentral:rRNA from 1 species